rnacentral:rRNA from 1 species
UACGUAGGGUGCAAGCGUUGUCCGGAAUCAUUGGGCGUAAAGAGCGCGUAGGCGGCCUGGUAGGUCUGGUGUGAAAACUCGAGGCUUAACCUCGAGAUGUCAUCGGAAACCAUCUGGCUAGAGUCCGGAAGAGGAGAGUGGAAUUCCUGGUGUAGCGGUGAAAUGCGCAGAUAUCAGGAAGAACACCAAUGGCGAAAGCAGCUCUCUGGGACGGUACUGACGCUGAGACGCGAAAGCGUGGGGAGCGAACAGG